CUCUCUUAAGGUAGCCAAAUGC
rnacentral:ncRNA from 2 species